rnacentral:rRNA from 1 species
UACGUAGGGGGCAAGCGUUGUCCGGAAUCAUUGGGCGUAAAGCGCGUGUAGGCGGCUCGAUAAGUCUGCUGUGAAAGUCCAGGGCUCAACCCUGGGAUGCCGGUGGAUACUGUCGAGCUCGAGUCCGGAAGAGGCGAGUGGAAUUCCUGGUGUAGCGGUGAAAUGCGCAGAUAUCAGGAGGAACACCAAUGGCGAAGGCAGCUCGCUGGGACGGUACUGACGCUGAGGCACGAAGGUCAGGGGAGCAAACGGG